GGCAGCAUGGCCUAGUGGCUAGAGCACUGGACUGGGAGGCAGGAGACUUGGGUUCUAUUCCCAUUUCUGCCA
rfam:Chelonia mydas contig191372, whole genome shotgun sequence.